GACGAACGCUGGCGGCGUGCUUAAUACAUGCAAGUCGAACGGAAAGGCCCUGCUUUUGUGGGGUGCUCGAGUGGCGAACGGGUGAGAGACACAUGAGUAACCUGCCCUUGACAUUGGGAUAACUUCAGGACACAGGGGAUAACACCGCAUACGAGCUCCUGCUGCAUAGUGGGGGUUGGAAAGUUUCGGCGUUGGGGGCUGUAAUCGCGGCUUAUCAGCUUGUUGGUGAGGUAGUGGCUUACCAACGAUUUGACGGGUAGCCUGCAUGGGAGGGUGACCGGGCACAUUAUGACUGAGAUACGCACCAGACUCCUACGGCCGGCAGCUGUCGGAAAUAUUGCAGAAUGGGCGGGAGUCUGAUGCAGGAACGCCGGGUGCGGAAUAACCGCCUUUGAGUUGAAAACCGAUUUGGCCUGUGACGAAGAGUGAGUGACGGUAACGGGUAAAAAAGCACCGGCUAACUACGUG
rnacentral:rRNA from 1 species